rnacentral:lncRNA from 1 species
AAUGCUUCCAUCACUCUAUUCACUGAGUCCACAUUUCCUUUGCAAAAAAUCAUCAGUUCAUCAGCAAAUAUAAGGUGUGUAAGUUUCAGUUUCUUGCACAUUGGGUGGUACUUGAAGUCUGGCAAUUGACUCAUUGUAUGUAGUGUUCUAGACAGGUACUCCAUCACAAGUACAAACAACAAAGGAGAUAUUGGAUCUCCUUGCCUCAAUCCUCUUCUACCUGCAAAAAACCCAUGGCUUCCCCCAUUUACUUUGACUGAGAACAUGGUGGUUGUUACUCCCAACAAAAUCCACUUCACAAAC